GCCUAGAUAGCUUAACAGGUUAGAGCACAGAACUGAAGUUUCUGAGGAAGAAGUUCGAGUCUUCUUCAAGGCA
rnacentral:tRNA from 1 species